GCAAUACGUGUAGACACUACAGAGACACGCACACACGCACAACGCCCAUAGACUCCCACGCGCUCAUUCGUAGCUAGACCAUGUCCGAUACGGCGUCCACCACGCGCCCCUCCACUGUCUUGGCGAGCAUCCAAACACUCGGACAUGUUCCGGGAAGUGUGCACCACUACCACCACCGCGCCAUGGCGCGACGACAGCGGCCACCACCCACGCGUAGUCUCUGCUGCCUCGAUCUUAUCUGUGCCCGCACACGAUCAGCUCCUUAGUCCCUUCCCCAUACAGUGUGCGCGACAGCGGCGCUACCGACGCGGCCUCCGUUCCACGAGGCAGUAUACCGGCUGCGUAUAUCUGUACAUCGGGGUCGCACCAGCGCCGCACCUACGAGGAUGGCGGCAGAAGCGGCGUUGAGAGAAGUCGUGCGGUGAGGGCGCCGGCUGCCCUUGACACUUCCCUCACAGGCACUAGAGGCGAGCGAGAGGAGCCGACUGCGACCUUGUCGUCUUUCCUGUCUUCGACGCCAUUCACCACCUUACACACAGCACCUAUUAUUCCAGCGCUUCGAGCCGGUGCUGCGCCGAGAUACACGGACACGACACGCUCUGCAAUACAACCGACGUGCUGCGAAGCUGAUGCGAGCGCGCACAGCCUCCACGCAGCGCAGCAUUCGUUUGGCCUCAGCAGGGGAUACAGCGACUCGGCAGAGGACACAGUGGCCUGCACGCCGGCGAGUGACAUCACAGCCUAGCACGUGACGGGCGCCGUAUGGGCCGAGUCGAGGCGCAGCAGCGGCUGCAGCUGCAGCUUUAGGAGCGCCGCUGCUGCUGCUACGCCACACGGCGCAUCUCUCUGUGCUCGCGCUCUGUAUGUGACACAUUCCUCGGCAUCGACGCGUCUGCCGGCUGCGCUGCUGAGCAACACGGACACGGACGACUGGAGUGCUUUACUGUGGCUGUGCUUAGAUGAUGGAGCGGAACGCACGUGUGUGUGGAGUCGGAGCGACACCAGCCCAGUUGAGUAGGCCCUGCUGGAUACAGUGGUGAAGGCUCAUGGGUGUGAACUGCGAGGCAGCGGCGCGUGCAGCGUCGAUCGCACCUCCUCCCAUUCCUUAUUAAGCACAGCGGCACUGACAGGGAGAGAGAGAGAGCCACUCUAAGAGCACACGUACACAUGCGGUUCCACAUGGACGCAAACUCAC
rnacentral:misc_RNA from 1 species